UACGGGGGGAGCAAGCGUUGUUCGGAUUUACUGGGCGUAAAGGCGCGUAGGCGGCGUGACAAGUCACUUGUGAAAUCUCCGGGCUUAACCCGGAGCGGUCAAGUGAUACUGUCGUGCUAGAGUGCGUUCGGGGCAGAGGGAAUUCCUGGUGUAGCGGUGAAAUGCGUAGAGAGUCAGGAAGAACACCGGUGGCGAAGGCGCUCUGCUAGGCCGCAACUGACAGCUGAGGGAACGAAAGCUAGGGGAGCGAAUGGG
rnacentral:rRNA from 1 species